CGUUGCCUCAUCCAUGUAGCUUAGUUCACUUUUUCAAUGAAUAAAGCAGAUAGCGUGCUACUUUUUCCUCAAAAAAUAUAUAUAUUUUUUAAAAGCAUAGAAGCUUAAUUCUCUAGAGUCCAGCUAUGAUACUUAAUUUUAAAAGCUUAAACACUUGGUGCUUAAUUUGUAAAUUUUUUACCGUUACAUCUAUCUCUUUGACCAAUUCCACUUCUUAGAUUAUACUAUUCUACUAACCACACGCUCAAAUUUAGAGGACCACUAUUAUUCUAACAUAAUAAAUUUUCAUCUAAAAGCCGAAAAUAUUUAAAAUUUGGUUUCUAAAUAUUUCAAAUGGUAUUGAUCAUAUUCAAUGAUGCCGAUUGUUGAUUUGGAGGUUUCAUCAUCGAAAGUAAAUGGAUGGGAACGAAAUUCGUUUGCUACUGAUAGUAUUCUAAGGCAACUCUAUAUAUAUAUAUAGAGAGAGAGAGAGAGAGCAGGACUAAUGUGCUCUUAGAAGUAUGAAUGCAUUCGUGCUCCUAGGUUAUUUUCGAUGAUCCACCUAAAAGAUCAAAAUUUCGUU
rnacentral:lncRNA from 1 species